rnacentral:rRNA from 1 species
AUUGAACGCUGGCGGCAGGCUUAACACAUGCAAGUCGAGCGGGGAAAUGUAGCUUGCUACAUUACCUAGCGGCGGACGGGUGAGUAAUGCUUAGGAAUCUGCCUAUUAGUGGGGGACAACAUUCCGAAAGGAAUGCUAAUACCGCAUACGUCCUACGGGAGAAAGCAGGGGACCUUCGGGCCUUGCGCUAAUAGAUGAGCCUAAGUCGGAUUAGCUAGUUGGUGGGGUAAAGGCCUACCAAGGCGACGAUCUGUAGCGGGUCUGAGAGGAUGAUCCGCCACACUGGGACUGAGACACGGCCCAGACUCCUACGGGAGGCAGCAGUGGGGAAUAUUGGACAAUGGGGGGAACCCUGAUCCAGCCAUGCCGCGUGUGUGAAGUAGGCCUUUUGGUUGUAAAGCACUUUAAGCGAGGAGGAGGCUACUAGUAUUAAUACUACUGGAUAGUGGACGUUACUCGCAGAAUAAGCACCGGCUAACUCUGUGCCAGCCGCCGCGGUAAUAC